rnacentral:siRNA from 1 species
GGCGGUAACCCUUCUGAGCUAAGUAGCCAAGGGUUAGCUGUAGGGCAGUAGGAGCCUUUGCCGGGGGUCUUGUAGGCGGGGUGUUAAGCACUCGCGUGCGGCUCUCCGUGGUAAGACGUCAGCUAUGGCUCCGUAGGGUGUGAUGAGUGCUUUACCUGGCGCUCAACAACUUCCCAGCCCACCUACCCUUGGGACACGGGCCAAGUGGAUUUCCACUCGGCCUGUGUCGGUUGUCUAUCACUCCUGAGCUA